AUUAACGCUGGCGGCGUGCAUAACACAUGCAAGUCGAACGAUGAAACUUUAAUGAACCCUUCGGGGAGAAUUAAAGCGGAUUAGUAGCGAACGGGUGAGUAACGCGUGAGUAACCUGCCUUACACAAGGGGAUAGCCUUUGGAAACGAAGAAUAAUACCCUAUAAAACCAUAAAAGCACAUGCAAUUAUGGUCAAAGUGAUAGCGGUGUAAGAUGGACUUGCGUCUGAUUAGCUAGUUGGUGAGAUAAAAGCCCACCAAGGCAACGAUCAGUAGCCGGCUUGAGAGAGUGUACGGCCACAUAGGGACUGAGACACGGCCCAGACUCCUACGGGAGGCAGCAGUGGGGAAUUUUGCACAAUGGGGGAAACCCUGAUGCAGCGACGCCGCGUGAUUUAGAAGGCCUUCGGGUUGUAAAAAUCUUUUGUAUAGGAAGAAAAUGACAGUACUAUACGAAUAAGGUCCGGCUAAUUACGUG
rnacentral:rRNA from 1 species